AGUCUCAGUCAGCUCAGGCUGCCAUAACAAAACCCCAUAAACUGGAUGCCUUAAGCAAUAGACAUUUAUUUUCUCACAGUUUUAGAGGAUGGAAGUCAGACAUCAGGACGCCAGCGUGCCCCAAGGUCGGCUUCUGCCUCUGUGGGAGAUUUGAUAACUUCUGUGCUCUAGAAACUUCUAAUUAAGCAUGAAGAAGGCUGGGACACAGACCAGUUGUGAUGUUCUCAACACCAUCACCAUUUCUCUACUAAUGAGAAGACCACACUUCAUAAACUCUGAUGUGUUUACUGAGAAGCCACUCUUACAGGAACCAGAAACCCACAAUUUUUAACAGCAGCUUAUCUCGUCUCUGCUGCAGAGUGGUACAUGUGAUCUCAACCUGCACUUCUGAAGAUCUGAACUGGGAAGAAGGACAGAAAAUGCACACCCACGGUAAAGAGAAUGUCUAGAAAAAUAUGAACCCAACAGAAGCAGAGCUGAGCAAUACAGAGAAAGAAACUAAAUCCUACUAAUCGAGAAAGGCCCUGAAUUGAGAAGAAACUGAAAGCUUCCACUUCUCUAACCCUAGAUUUGUCAAGAACACAAGCAAAUUAUCUUUUCAGCUAAAGGCAUGCCGCUGUGGACUUUGGGGGAGGUCGUCCCGUCGAUUUGCCAUUUUCAUCCAUCAACCUCAUCUGUUUACCGCUGACCUACAAGGGCUAUAACCAUGUCAGAAGUGCCACAAGAAAUAUUCAUCCCUGGAGACCCAAGAAAAAAAAAAAAAAGCAGAGAACCCAUUUCUUUGGAAAUCGAUGAGCCCCAUUCUUGGUUCAUCAGUUUUGAACUUGACACAGCAGAGAAACAGAACAGUGGCUCAGUUUUUCAGCUACAGCCCUGCCACUUGACAACCCAGAGGGCAAGUUCACCCACCUCACUGGAAGGGUUUGUGCCCAGAUCCCUCCAUCCUCAGUGAGGAUUCAGAAAGGUCUCAGAGAAUCCUUGGUACCCCGGGCACCAAGCCUCAUGUGUUUUACAAUUGACAUUAAAAUGUCAGUGAACUUGACUGAAGGGAAAUCACAGGACACACGUGUCUGUGCAU